rnacentral:rRNA from 1 species
AUUGAACGCUGGCGGAAUGCUUUACACAUGCAAGUCGAACGGUAGAGGGGGCAACCCCUCGAGAGUGGCGAACGGGUGAGUAAUAUAUCGGAACGUGCCCAGUCGUGGGGGAUAACGUAGCGAAAGUUACGCUAAUACCGCAUACGAUCUAAGGAUGAAAGCGGGGGACCGUAAGGCCUCGCGCGAUCGGAGCGGCCGAUGUCAGAUUAGGUAGUUGGUGAGGUAAAGGCUCACCAAGCCUGCGAUCUGUAGCUGGUCUGAGAGGACGACCAGCCACACUGGGACUGAGACACGGCCCAGACUCCUACGGGAGGCAGCAGUGGGGAAUUUUGGACAAUGGGCGCAAGCCUGAUCCAGCCAUUCCGCGUGCAGGAUGAAGGCCCUCGGGUUGUAAACUGCUUUUGUACGGAACGAAACGCGCUGAGUUAAUACCUCGGCGUAAUGACGGUACCGUAAGAAUAAGCACCGGCUAACUACGUGCCAGCCGCCGCUGUAA